CUCUUCCACGGCGGCGACCGGCAGAGCGAGCAGUGGGGAAGGCAAACCAGCGCAGCGCCUCUCAGAAACCCAAAAGGCGAGGCAGAGCGGCGAGGAAAGGGGAGCAGAUGAGGAAGACAAGACUCCCCCAAUUAUCGACACAGCAGUACACAUAUCGGAGGUGCAUACAUAUUGUCGUGGUUUCGGAAACGAGGGACAAUAAGAUUUGUGUUCGGUGGAGGAUGCUAGCGUGGACUUACUCCGAAUGGUGAAUCGCUGUUAUUCAACGAGAGAUCUGAGACACGGGGGUUAUACUGGUUCGGUUUCGCACCCUACUCCAGUGUAGUGUUGAUCGUAGUAUUGCUUUGAGCAUGUCACAACAAGUGUGCUUGUGUGCCUAGAGGAAAGAGGGCCUACCCUUUUAUACCUCAAGGGUUGGACCUUAUAAGGGAGAUCUGUUUUUUUACAUGUUGGCUUAUAACUGGGUAUGUUAGUAUC